UUUGGUUGCCGGUGUCCCUGCGGCUCCUAAUACACUAAUAACUUAUAUGGACGUUUGGUGAAUCCACUGGUACUUUUCCAUGUGGACUUUAAUUCGCCGUGCAUGUGUUAGUGAACAAUCCCCGGUUUCUGCCCCACCCAACAAUCUGUAUAGGUUCAGCAGUGUGAAAAGGGAUCAUGGGGACUGACCUAAGAGGGUUUAUCUUGGAGUGAUUUAAGUGGAUUGUGGUCAGUUCAGAUGGUCUAAGGUCAGAAUCGAAGCACCAACCAAGCUCCUUGAACCAAUUGAGGUAUUAGACAUAAGAUGCUCUUCAUAGAAAAAGCUAUCAUCCUCGCAGCUACAAAUUCCAGGAAAACCACUUUUCUCUGCAAUUAACUAUAACCCCAUCCAACCGUGUGCCAUCGGGCUCAGUGAUAUGCUUAUAAAGUGAAAAUAUUUUGUUUGUGGUUCUGUGUGUUAGAUCAUUAACAUUUAAACUGGGGGCGAUCGUGGCUCAAGAGUUGGCAGUUCGUCUUGUAAUCGGAAGGUUGCCGGUUCAAAUUCAAAUUCAAAUUUUAUUUGUCACGUACACAGUCAUACACAGUACGAUAUGCAGUGAAAUGCUUAGACAACUGCUCGUGACCUAAAGAAAAAAAAAAGGAAAAGGCUAUGAAUAAGAUAGGAAAUAAAUAUGAAAAAUUAAAAAGGGUAAAUUUAACUAGGAAGGAAUAAAAUAUAAAAAAUUAAGGUUAAAAAAUGAAAUAACUGUACAACACAAAUUAGAAUGAAGGGUAAAUGUAACUGGGAAAGAAUAAGAUAAAAUAUAUAAAUUAAAGUUGAAAAUAAAAUAACUGUACAACAAAAUACACAAUACACAGUAUAGAAAUAUAUAACUAUAUAAGGCUCAGUCUCGGUCGUUGUGUCCUUGGGCGAGACACUUCACCCGUUCCCUGGUGGUGGUCAGAGGGCCCGGUGGCGCCAGUGUCCGGCAGCCUCGCCUCUGUCAGUGCGCCCCAGGGUGGCUGUGGCUACAAUGUAGCUGCCAUCACCAGUGUGUGAAUGUGUGGAUGACUGAAUGUAGUGUAAAGCGCUUUGGGUCCUUAAGGACUAGUAAAGCUAUACAAAUACAGGCCAUUUACCAUCUCUGUAGAGUUUUGC
ensembl:lncRNA